UGUAUAUAAACUGAUGCUGAAGUCAAUCUCAUCAUCAUCUGAUCUGCUCAUCAGAGACUCAACAGACCCACUUCUCUCCUUCAUCUGAGCGUGACUUCAGUGAAACCUCCAGCCAUCAUGUCUCCAUCAAAGAGGAAGUUCAACCCCUUCAAGGGGCGAUACCCAGAGAAGGUGUCAACCUCCAACCU